CGAUAAACGGCUUUCGAUCCUUCCAACCCUUCUGCAAGGAGGUGUCUUCCUCCACUUCUCAUGCUUCGAGUCAAAGCAUCUGGGUUGAGAGAAGUCUCAUGUUGAUCAAUGUUUUGAUGAUUAGCUCGCUUCUCAUCAGGGAUACCCAUGUCGAAGGGAGGUGACCCUCCGUGUUAGGGGGCACCCAGAUGAUGGUUGAUGUCCACAGG
rnacentral:lncRNA from 1 species